GUACACAAAAAUGCACAUAUUGUGAGCUCGAUGAGUAGGGCGGGACACGUGGUAUCCUGUCUGAAUAUGGGGGGACCAUCCUCCAAGGCUAAAUACUCCUGACUGACCGAUAGUGAACCAGUACCGUGAGGGAAAGGCGAAAAGAACCCCGGCGAGGGGAGUGAAAAAGAACCUGAAACCGUGUACGUACAAGCAGUGGGAGCCUCUUUAUGGGGUGACUGCGUACCUUUUGUAUAAUGGGUCAGCGACUUAUAUUCUGUAGCAAGGUUAACCGAAUAGGGGAGCCGAAGGGAAACCGAGUCUUAACUGGGCGUUAAGUUGCAGGGUAUAGACCCGAAACCCGGUGAUCUAGCCAUGGGCAGGUUGAAGGUUGGGUAACACUAACUGGAGGACCGAACCGACUAAUGUUGAAAAAUUAGCGGAUGACUUGUGGCUGGGGGUGAAAGGCCAAUCAAACCGGGAGAUAGCUGGUUCUCCCCGAAAGCUAUUUAGGUAGCGCCUCGUGAAUUCAUCUCCGGGGGUAGAGCACUGUUUCGGCAAGGGGGUCAUCCCGACUUACCAACCCGAUGCAAACUGCGAAUACCGGAGAAUGUUAUCACGGGAGACACACGGCGGGUGCUAACGUCCGUCGUGAAGAGGGAAACAACCCAGACCGCCAGCUAAGGUCCCAAAGUCAUGGUUAAGUGGGAAACGAUGUGGGAAGGCCCAGACAGCCAGGAUGUUGGCUUAGAAGCAGCCAUCAUUUAAAGAAAGCGUAAUAGCUCACUGGUCGAGUCGGCCUGCGCGGAAGAUGUAACGGGGCUAAACCAUGCACCGAAGCUGCGGCAGCGACACUAUGUGUUGUUGGGUAGGGGAGCGUUCUGUAAGCCUGUGAAGGUGGCCUGUGAGGGUUGCUGGAGGUAUCAGAAGUGCGAAUGCUGACAUAAGUAACGAUAAAGCGGGUGAAAAGCCCGCUCGCCGGAAGACCAAGGGUUCCUGUCCAACGUUAAUCGGGGCAGGGUGAGUCGACCCCUAAGGCGAGGCCGAAAGGCGUAGUCGAUGGGAAACAGGUUAAUAUUCCUGUACUUGGUGUUACUGCGAAGGGGGGACGGAGAAGGCUAUGUUGGCCGGGCGACGGUUGUCCCGGUUUAAGCGUGUAGGCUGGUUUUCCAGGCAAAUCCGGAAAACCAAGGCUGAGGCGUGAUGACGAGGCACUACGGUGCUGAAGCGACAAAUGCCCUGCUUCCAGGAAAAGCCUCUAAGCAUCAGGUAACAUCAAAUCGUACCCCAAACCGACACAGGUGGUCAGGUAGAGAAUACCAAGGCGCUUGAGAGAACUCGGGUGAAGGAACUAGGCAAAAUGGUGCCGUAACUUCGGGAGAAGGCACGCUGAUAUGUAGGUGAAGCGACUUGCUCGUGGAGCUGAAAUCAGUCGAAGAUACCAGCUGGCUGCAACUGUUUAUUAAAAACACAGCACUGUGCAAACACGAAAGUGGACGUAUACGGUGUGACGCCUGCCCGGUGCCGGAAGGUUAAUUGAUGGGGUUAGCGGUAACGCGAAGCUCUUGAUCGAAGCCCCGGUAAACGGCGGCCGUAACUAUAACGGUCCUAAGGUAGCGAAAUUCCUUGUCGGGUAAGUUCCGACCUGCACGAAUGGCGUAAUGAUGGCCAGGCUGUCUCCACCCGAGACUCAGUGAAAUUGAACUCGCUGUGAAGAUGCAGUGUACCCGCGGCAAGACGGAAAGACCCCGUGAACCUUUACUAUAGCUUGACACUGAACAUUGAGCCUUGAUGUGUAGGAUAGGUGGGAGGCUUUGAAGUGUGGACGCCAGUCUGCAUGGAGCCGACCUUGAAAUACCACCCUUUAAUGUUUGAUGUUCUAACGUUGGCCCGUAAUCCGGGUUGCGGACAGUGUCUGGUGGGUAGUUUGACUGGGGCGGUCUCCUCCUAAAGAGUAACGGAGGAGCACGAAGGUUGGCUAAUCCUGGUCGGACAUCAGGAGGUUAGUGCAAUGGCAUAAGCCAGCUUGACUGCGAGCGUGACGGCGCGAGCAGGUGCGAAAGCAGGUCAUAGUGAUCCGGUGGUUCUGAAUGGAAGGGCCAUCGCUCAACGGAUAAAAGGUACUCCGGGGAUAACAGGCUGAUACCGCCCAAGAGUUCAUAUCGACGGCGGUGUUUGGCACCUCGAUGUCGGCUCAUCACAUCCUGGGGCUGAAGUAGGUCCCAAGGGUAUGGCUGUUCGCCAUUUAAAGUGGUACGCGAGCUGGGUUUAGAACGUCGUGAGACAGUUCGGUCCCUAUCUGCCGUGGGCGCUGGAGAACUGAGGGGGGCUGCUCCUAGUACGAGAGGACCGGAGUGGACGCAUCACUGGUGUUCGGGUUGUCAUGCCAAUGGCACUGCCCGGUAGCUAAAUGCGGAAGAGAUAAGUGCUGAAAGCAUCUAAGCACGAAACUUGCCCCGAGAUGAGUUC
rnacentral:rRNA from 1 species